ACAUGUACAAAUCCUCAAACCUUUUCGAGUUUGACAAAAACAUGGUUACUGUCACAACAAAAUUGUACACAUUUAUGAAGUGUGUGUGUGCGUCAGCGGGCCAAUGGAAGCUGUG